UUUUUAAUGAUAAGACACUAUGAAUCAAGUUAGCGGCUUGAUUGCUGAAAAAUUCUUUAAUUAG
rnacentral:tRNA from 1 species